rnacentral:rRNA from 1 species
GACGAACGCUGGCGGCGUGCUUAACACAUGCAAGUCGAACGGAAAGGCCCUGCUUUUGUGGGGUGCUCGAGUGGCGAACGGGUGAGUAACACGUGAGUAACCUGCCCUUGACUUUGGGAUAACUUCAGGAAACUGGGGCUAAUACCGGAUAGGAGCUCCUGCUGCAUGGUGGGGGUUGGAAAGUUUCGGCGGUUGGGGAUGGACUCGCGGCUUAUCAGCUUGUUGGUGGGGUAGUGGCUUACCAAGGCUUUGACGGGUAGCCGGCCUGAGAGGGUGACCGGCCACAUUGGGACUGAGAUACGGCCCAGACUCCUACGGGAGGCAGCAGUGGGGAAUAUUGCACAAUGGGCGGAAGCCUGAUGCAGCAACGCCGCGUGCGGGAUGACGGCCUUCGGGUUGUAAACCGCUUUCGCCUGUGACGAAGCGUGAGUGACGGUAAUGGGUAAAGAAGCACCGGCUAACUACGUGCCAGCAGCCGCGGUGAUACGUAGGGUGCGAGCGUUGUCCGGAUUUAUUGGGCGUAAAGGGCUCGUAGGUGGUUGAUCGCGUCGGAAGUGUAAUCUUGGGGCUUAACCCUGAGCGUGCUUUCGAUACGGGUUGACUUGAGGAAGGUAGGGGAGAAUGGAAUUCCUGGUGGAGCGGUGGAAUGCGCAGAUAUCAGGAGGAACACCAGUGGCGAAGGCGGUUCUCUGGGCCUUUCCUGACGCUGAGGAGCGAAAGCGUGGGGAGCGAACAGGCUUAGAUACCCUGGUAGUCCACGCUGUAAACGGUGGGUACUAGGUGUGGGGUCCAUUCCACGGGUUCCGUGCCGUAGCUAACGCUUUAAGUACCCCGCCUGGGGAGUACGGCCGCAAGGCUAAAACUCAAAGGAAUUGACGGGGCCCCGCACAAGCGGCGGAGCAUGCGGAUUAAUUCGAUGCAACGCGUAGAACCUUACCUGGGUUUGACAUGGAUCGGGGGUGCUCAGAGAUGGGUGUGCCUCUUUUGGGGUCGGUUCACAGGUGGUGCAUGGCUGUCGUCAGCUCGUGUCGUGAGAUGUUGGGUUAAGUCCCGCAACGAGCGCAACCCUUGUUCACUGUUGCCAGCACGUUAUGGUGGGGACUCAGUGGAGACCGCCGGGGUCAACUCGGAGGAAGGUGGGGAUGACGUCAAGUCAUCAUGCCCCUUAUGUCCAGGGCUUCACGCAUGCUACAAUGGCUGGUACAGAGAGUGGCGAGCCUGUGAGGGUGAGCGAAUCUCGGAAAGUCGGUCUCAGUUCGGAUUGGGGUCUGCAACUCGACCUCAUGAAGUCGGAGUCGCAAGUAAUCGCAGAUCAGCAACGCUGCGGUGAAUACGUUCCCGGG